UUUUCGGAGAGUUUGAUCCUGGCUCAGGAUUAACGCUGGCGGCGUGCCUGACACAUGCAAGUCGAACGAGCGAAGGGACUUCGGUCCCUUGGCGAGUGGCGGACGGGUGAGUAACACGUGAGGAACCUACCCUUUAGUGGGGAAUAACCCGCAGAAAUGCGGGCUAAUACCGCAUGUGGUCGGACGUGGACAUCCACGACUGACUAAAGAUUUAUCGCUAGAGGACGGCCUCGCGGCCUAUUAGCUAGUUGGUGGGGUAACGGCCUACCAAGGCGAUGAUGGGUAGCUGGUCUGAGAGGACGACCAGCCACACUGGGACUGAGACACGGCCCAGACUCCUACGGGAGGCAGCAGUGAGGAAUUUUCCGCAAUGGGCGCAAGCCUGACGGAGCAACGCCGCGUGUGUGAUGAAGUCCUUCGGGAUGUAAAGCACUGUCGGAGGGGAUGAAUAAAUGACAGUACCCUCCAAGAAAGCCCCGGCUAACUACGUGCCAGCAGCCGCGGUAAUACGUAGGGGGCAAGCGUUAUCCGGAUUUACUGGGCGUAAAGCGCGUGUAGGCGGUUGCGCAAGUUAGUUGUGAAAUCUCCCGGCUCAACCGGGAAACUGCAGCUAAUACUGCGUGGCUAGAGUGGCAGAGAGGAAAGUGGAAUUCCCGGUGUAGUAGUGAAAUGCGUAGAUAUCGGGAGGAAUACCAGCGGCGAAGGCGACUUUCUGGCUGCUAACUGACGCUGAGACGCGAAAGCUAGGGGAGCGAACGGGAUUAGAUACCCCGGUAGUCCUAGCCCUAAACGAUGCACGCUAGGUGUUGGUCGUAUUGACGCGAUCAGUGCCGAAGCUAACGCAUUAAGCGUGCCGCCUGGGGAGUACGGUCGCAAGAUUAAAACUCAAAGGAAUUGACGGGGGCCCGCACAAGCAGCGGAGCAUGUGGUUUAAUUCGAUGCAACGCGAAGAACCUUACCCAGGCUUGACAUGCUUGGGAAAGCCUAGGGAAACCUAGGCCCUCUCUUCGGAGACCCUUGCACAGGUGGUGCAUGGCUGUCGUCAGCUCGUGCCGUGAGGUGUUGGGUUAAGUCCCGCAACGAGCGCAACCCUCGUCCUUAGUUGAUUUUCUAGGGAGACUGCCGGGAGAAACCUGGAGGAAGGUGGGGAUGACGUCAAGUCAUCAUGCCCUUUAUGUCUGGGGCUACACACAUGCUACAAUGCGGCGUCCAACGGGUUGCGACUUCGCGAGGAGAAGCUAAUCCCUUAAAGCGUCGCUCAGUUCGGAUUGCAGGCUGCAACUCGCCUGCAUGAAGUCGGAGUUGCUAGUAAACGCAGGUCAGCAUACUGCGUUGAAUAUGUUCCCGGGCCUUGUACACACCGCCCGUCACACCACCCGAGUCUGGUGCACCCGAAGUCGCUGGCCGAACCCUUUUUGGGACGGAGGUGCCGAAGGUGUGCCCGGUAAGGGGGGUGAAGUCGUAACAAGGUAGCCGUACCGGAAGGUGCGGCUGGAUCACCUCCUUU
rnacentral:rRNA from 1 species